AUUUUAAAGAUUUUAAAAAAACUAUACAUCAUAUUUAUACACAUAACAAAAUAAUUUUUUUAGCAUUAAUGAAUACAGAAGAAUAUAUAAGUGAAGAAGACAAUAAAAACUUGUUGAAAAUUAUUAAUACUUUUGGUAUUACAGGUAAAUGUGAUUUUAUAAAUUAUAUAAGGUAUUAUAAGCGCCAUGGUGUAGCAAAUAAUGACACAUGCGAACACAUGUGUAGUAGUAAUAGUAGUAGUAGUAGUAGUAGUAUGGUCAAUGAUGUCAUGAGUAUUAACACAUACGAAAAUGUACAUAACAAUUUAAACAUAUUAUGUAACACAAAAGAUGACAAAUCAACAGAAUUAUUAUGUUUAUUAUACGAGAUAAUAAUGAGAGAAUAUUUAUAUUACAAUUUACUUACUUGUAUAUAUUUAUAUUUUCAUCGUAUUAUUAAAAAAUUUAAUAUAAAUAUACAUGAUGUUGUAUUAUAUGGUAUUUAUAGUUGUUUUUGUAUAUAUUAUAAAAUAAAGGCACUUGAAAAAAAAAAGAAAUUAUUUGAUGAAUUUAAAUAUAUACAAUUUAAUAAUUAUUUUAAAGUUUUAUCAGUAUCUUUUUUAUAUGAUUUUAUUUUAAAUUUUUUAAUUGAAUUAUAUAAUAUUAUAAGUAUAAAUAAAAUAAUGAAUUUAGGAACAAUUGUUAUUUAUUUUUUAUGUAAAAUAUAUUAUGAAAAAAAAAAUUAUAUGUUUUCUUUAUACUUGUUAAUGCUUUUUUUUAAUAAUGAAGAAGAAUUAUUUAUUUUUAAUUCGAUUGAUGAUACUGUUCUAAAAAGUAGAAAAUACGAUUUGAUUCAUUUUUAUGAGUCUUUUUGGCGAUUUAGUGGUUAUAAAACGUACUUGAAACCUUGCAGCAAAGACGUUCAAGAACCUAUGAUAUGUCUAGUACUUAGCUGCUUGGGGUUUUUAUUAAAUUAUGACAAAGUCAUUACAAACAUUGAUAAAGAGUAUUUAAAAAAUGAAUCGUUUGACAUCAAAGAGUAUGAUGUAUUAUUUAUUGAAAUAUGUUUUGGAUAUUUAAAUAUUUUAAUUAUGAAUAAAAAAUAUAAGGAACAGAAAGAAUUCAGUGAUUUCAUGCAAAAAUAUUUCAAAUUUAUAGAUAAAAAACAACCUUAUUUACCUUUAUAUAAUAUUGACGUAUUUCUUUGUGAUGUUUAUAUUAACUUAUAUUACUUAUUGGAAAAAGAUAAUUAUAGAAUUUUUUUAAGAGUAAAAAACAAGAGUCAUGUUGAUUUUGUUUUUUUACCAUUACUUGGAAUCGUAAUAAAUGAAAAAAUAUAUAUGUUUAAUUUAAAAUAUUCUAAUUAUUACGAAGGUAUUAAUUUUUUAUUUGGUCAACUUUUUAAUGAUGUUGAAGAUGAAGAUGUUGAUGUUGAUAAUAUAAGUAAAAGUGAUUUAUUUUUGCGACAGUAUAUGACACAAGAAAUGGAAACAUCUUCGACGCAGAUGCCUACUAACUCUAGCAGUAGCAAUGGCAAGCAUAGCGAAAAUGGUAAUAGUUUUUUUCGGUUGGACAAGAAAAACAGUAUUAGUCUGAUAUUAAAAAAAGGCAAAAAGAACGAAGUAAAUGUUGAACAAGUUGAAUUAUAUAUGUAUAUAUAUAAACAAAUUAUAAAAAUAAAAAUAAAAAAAAUUAUGACUUGUAAAUUGAAAACAGAAUAUUUAGAAGAAGUAAACAUAUUGAAAGACACGAAUAAAGAAAAAGAAGGAGAUGUAAAAAAAACAAAAAUCAACACAAAUAAUAAUAUGAUACAUAUGAUUGCAGAAAAUAUAGAGGAAAGACACAUGGGAACAUUGUUGCUUACUGAUGCAGUAAAAAAAGAUAAAACAGAAGAGUUAACGAAAGAUAAUGUUGUAUAUAAAAUGGAUACAGUAACAGAAAUAGGAAUACAAGAAAAAAACACAAACUUAAAAGCUUCUGAUUCAAUUAUUAAUAAUGAAAAUAAAAAAAAAAAAAAUAUUUUAUUUGAAAUUAGGAAGCAUAAUUUAAAUGAAAAUAUUUCAACUAUUUAUAAAUUAAAAGAAAGAUUAUAUUUAAAUAAAUGUGAAAAUAAAAUAGUUGAUAAUAUAAAUAAAUCUCUAUAUAAAAAAUUAGCA
rnacentral:lncRNA from 1 species